AUUGAACGCUGGCGGCAGGCCUAACACAUGCAAGUCGAGCGGAUGAAGGGAGCUUGCUCCUGGAUUCAGCGGCGGACGGGUGAGUAAGUCCUAGGAAUCUGCCUGGCAGUUGGGGAUAACGUCCGGAAACGGGCGCUAAUACCGCAUACGUCCUGAGGGAGAAAGUGGGGGAUCUUCGGACCUCACGCUAUUAGCUGAGCCUAGGUCGGAUUAGCUAGUUGGUGGGGUAAAGGCCUACCAAGGCGACGAUCCGUAACUGGUCUGAGAGGAUGAUCAGUCACACUGGAACUGAGACACGGUCCAGACUCCUACGGGAGGCAGCAGUGGGGAAUAUUGGACAAUGGGCGAAAGCCUGAUCCAGCCAUGCCGCGUGUGUGAAGAAGGUCUUCGGAUUGUAAAGCACUUUAAGUUGGGAGGAAGGGCAGUAAGUUAAUACCUUGCUGUUUUGACGUUACCAACAGAAUAAGCACCGGCUAACUUCGUG
rnacentral:rRNA from 1 species